rnacentral:rRNA from 1 species
AACAGUCGCUAAUACCCGAUAGACUUACCAGGUUCAAGCGGUAAGAAAAGCUACGGUGCUUGAGGAGGGGCCUGCGGCCCAUCAGCUAGUUGGUAGGGUAACGGCCUACCAAGGCGAAGACGGGUAGGGGGUGUGAGAGCACGAGCCCCCACAAUGGGACUGCGACACGGNCCAUACUCCUACGGGAGGCAGCAGCAGGGAAUAUUGCACAAUGGACGGAAGUCUGAUGCAGCGACGCCGCGUGAGUGAAGACGGCCUUCGGGUUGUAAAGCUCUUUUACGGGGGACGAGGAAGGACGGUACCCUGGGAAGAAGUGUCGGCUAACUACGUGCCAGCAGCCGCGGUAAGACGUAGGACACAAGCGUUAUCCGGAGUUACUGGGCGUAAAGCGCCUGCAGGCGGCCUGGUAAGUUGGACGUGAAAGCCCCGUGCUUAACGCGGGGAGGUCGGACAAUACUGCCAAGCUAGAGUGCGUCAGAGGGGAGUGGAAUUUCCGGAGUAGCGGUAAAAUGCGCAGAUAUCGGAAGGAACACCAGUGGCGAAAGCGACUCCCUGGGGCGCGACUGACGCUAAGAGGCGAAAGCUAGGGGAGCGAACAGGAUUAGAGACCCUGGUAGUCCUAGCCCCAAACGAUGGAUGCUAGGUGUGGGACGUAAAGUUCCGUGCCGGAGCCAACGCGAUAAGCAUCCCGCCUGGGGACUACGGUCGCAAGGCUAAAACUCAAACGAAUUGACGGGGACCCGCACAAGCAGCGGAGCGUGUGGUUCAAUUCGAUGCUACACGAAGAACAUUACCUGGGUUUGACAUGUACGUGGUAGAGAAGCGAAAG